rfam:Tnidentified eubacterium SCB49 1103407000303, whole genome shotgun sequence.
UUGCAGCCGGCAAGUCCUACACAACUAGCUCCUGUUUAAUCCCCCAGGGUGGGAACACAGCAAGGGUACACGGUCGUAGCAGUGUGAUGUAGGUAGCUUGCCUUUUU